GCUGUGCUGUUUAUGUAACCUGUUGUAAAACUAGGCAAAUAUCUAGAUGAGUUGAUUUACUCCCAUACCCCUGGUUGAGAACCACUGUUCUGGGGGAAGGCAGCUGCAGCACUUACAGGAACACAGGAUGUCUGUCAGGUGCCAUCAUCCCAGGAAUGAAUUGCUAACGAUUUCCCAGUACUGAGCAUCUUCCUUUGCUAGUUGUAAGUUUCACAGAACUAGAAGAGAAGAAGUGCCCAUUAACACUGCCUCCCUAUUAUUUCUCUCUUAAACUGCAAAGGGCCCAUGGGGAAAUGCAAGAGCACAGUCUAUUUAAAUAAUUUUGUUCUGGGGUUCUUAGAUCUGGUAAUGACAUCCUAUAGUUCAACAAGGUAAAUAUUUUUCUUUUUUAAUACAUUUUUUCUUUAUUCUUUGACCUCAAGAAACAAUCAGAAAAAUGCCAGAAUAGACCCAAGCAGCUCUCAUUGCAAAUUGCACACUUGAACAAUAUAAAAUGAGAAAUCUGGAGAAUUUAGAUUUUAUUUUUAAUGAGCAAGAGAAAUAUUUAAAGAUAUGUUUAAUGUCUAGAUUUCAAUUAUAUAUCAUAAGAAACAAAGAAGUUACUCACUUUCUGCAGUAACAAUGGUUCUUUGAGAUGUGUCCCCCCACUGAAUCCUUCCACAAUAAAAAGAAAAAUCUUGGGAGACUUCCUAAAAGCCUUCGUCCUAUCCAGGUAAAAGGCCAGGACUCUCCUAACAUAUAAUGUCUAUAGUAUAGUCUCCCUUUUAUCACAGUGAGGCUUAGGGUAAAAAGUUGGAAGGUGGAUCAGUUGGUUCAUGUGAAAAGGGGAGGUCACCUUGGGGGUAAACUUCAGCUGCAGUUUGUGUGUGACCUUGCCCCAAAAGAAUACUGUGUAGAGGGGAUGCAUGCCAUCAGAGCUGUUAUUUCCCCUAUUCUCCUAGCCAAGGUGAUCGCCACCAGGAAGGCAGUUUUCAUUUUCAGGUAUGUAAACCAUGGGUUUGAAGGGAGGUCUAGUCAGGUUUUUCAACACUAGGUUUAGAUCCCAUCUAGGGGUGGGAUGUCAGGGUUGUAGGAAAAGGUUUACUAUACCUUGAGGAAUCAUUUUGUGGUUGGAUGUGAUAGCACUGAGUAUCCCUCUACAUGUCGAUAGAAGGCUCCGAUAGCCACUAGGUGGACCUUGAGUGAACUGAGAAAUAAUCCCGAUUUUUUAAGAGUCAGUACACAGUCUAGGAUCUUUGGAAGAGUAGUGAGUGGCAGAGAAAUUUGUUGGGAAUUACACCAAGCCUGAAACCAGGGCCACUUUUGCAGGUACGUACAGCGUGUUGUGGCUUUUCUAAUGUGUAGUAAUACCUCUUGUACCUCCCCUGAGCAGGAGCUUUCUAUGCGUUGGAACCAUGAGGAGUCAAGUCUUGAGGUGGAAAAUCCCGAGGUUGAGAUGCAGCGUGUGUCCUUCAUUCUGCGAGAGGAGGUAUGGAGUGGAUUGAAGACAGAUUGACAGGCAUGUCUCAAGUUGUGACAGGUAAGACUACCAAGUCUGUCUUGGCCAGGUGGAAGCAAUUAGUAUGAUGUGUGCUCCUUCUCUUUUUAUUUUGAAUAGGACUUUUAACAGUAGGGGAAACAAGGGAAAGGCAUAGAGAAGGUCCUUGUCCCACAGAAGAAAGAGAGCGUUGCCCAGAGAGUGCUGUCCUAUCCCUGCUCUGCAGCAGUAGCAUGGCCAUUUCCUGUUCAGGACUCUCGUGUGUGUUCCCUUGACCAGUGAGAGGAAAUGGAUCCAGGCAUUCCUGACUACCCUGAGCUCAAGGAUACUGUCUCGCAUGACCUUCUGAUAACAAACUAGGAAAAUGCAACCUAGAUGGAGCUACUAUAAGCUACCUGAUUCUGGACAGUCCCAUAGCACAUGCAUCAGGGUACCUUUUUCUUUGUUACAAGACCAACAAACUUCAGAGGAUAAGGCUUUGCUCUUGUUCAACCGCUGUGGCAUCCAAUGCAUUUUGAAUAAAAUCUUUUCGUGUAUCAAGCAGAACCUGAGAUCCACAGAAGCAUUUUUAACAUUACAUAAUAUACUCUGCCACUGGCAUUCUUUUAAGGGCUGUGAUAAAUCCCCUUCCCAGACUUUCACAAAACUUCAGAUGGGGUGGGCAAACUUUUUAGCCCAAGG